rnacentral:rRNA from 1 species
UUUAUUUGAAGUUACCUUUACCUGGAUAACUGUGGUAAUUCUAGAGCUAAUACAUGCUAAAAACCCCGACUUCGGGAGGGGUGUAUUUAUUAGAUAAAAAACCAAUGCCCUCCGGGGCUCCUUGGUGAUUCAUGAUAACUCAACGAAUCGCAUGGCCUUGCGCCGGCGAUGGUUCAUUCAAAUUUCUGCCCUAUCAACUUUCGAUGGUAAGGUAGUGGCUUACCAUGGUGUCAACGGGUAACGGGGAAUUAGGGUUCUAUUCCGGAGAGGGAGCCUGAGAAACGGCUACCACAUCCAAGGAAGGCAGCAGGCGCGCAAAUUACCCAAUCCCAAUACGGGGAGGUAGUGACAAUAAAUACUGAUACGGGGCUCUUUCGGGUCUCGUAAUUGGAAUGAGUACAAUCUAAAUCCCUUAACGAGGAACAAUUGGAGGGCAAGUCUGGUGCCAGCAGCCGCGGUAAUUCCAGCUCCAAUAGCGUAUAUUAAAGUUGUUGCCGUUAAAAAGCUCGUAGUUGAACCUUGGACCUGGCUGAUCUGUCCUCCUAAUCGAGCGUACGGAUUCGGUCGGGUCUUUCCUUCUGGGGAGCCCUAUGCCCUUUACUGGGUGUAGCGGGGAACCAGGACUUUUACCUUGAAAAAAUUAGAGUGUUCAAAGCAGGCCUUUGCUCGAAUACAUUAGCAUGGAAUAAUAGAAUAGGACAUCGGUUCUAUUUUGUUGGUUUCUAGGACCGCUGUAAUGAUUAAUAGGGAUAGUCGGGGGCGUCCGCAUUCAAUUGUCAGAGGUGAAAUUCUUGGAUUUAUUGAAGACGAACUACUGCGAAAGCAUUCGCCAAGGAUGUUUUCAUUAAUCAGUGAACGAAAGUUAGGGGAUCGAAGACGAUCAGAUACCGUCGUAGUCUUAACCAUAAACUAUGCCGACUAGGGAUCGGACGGUGGUUCUUUUUUAUGCCCCGUUCGGCACCUUUACGAGAAAUCAAAGGGGUU